GACGAACUUUGGCGGCGUGCUUAACACAUGCAAGUCGAACGGAAAGGCCCUGCUUUUGUGGGGUGCUCGAGUGGCGAACGGGUGAGUAACACGUGAGUAACCUGCCCUUGACUUUGGGAUAACUUCAGGAAACUGGGGCUAAUACCGGAUAGGAGCUCCUGCUGCAUGGUGGGGGUUGGAAAGUUUCGGCGGUUGGGGAUGGACUCGCGGCUUAUCAGCUUGUUGGUGGGGUAGUGGCUUACCAAGGCCUUGACGGGUAGCCGGCCUGAGAGGGUGACCGGCCACAUUGGGACUGAGAUACGGCCCAGACUCCUACGGGAGGCAGCAGUGGGGAAUAUUGCACAAUGGGCGGAAGCCUGAUGCAGCAACGCCGCGUGCGGGAUGACGGCCUUCGGGUUGUAAACCGCUUUCGCCUGUGACGAAGCGUGAGUGACGGUAAUGGGUAAAGAAGCACCGGCUAACUACGUGCCAGCAGCCGCGGUGAUACGUAGGGUGCGAGCGUUGUCCGGAUUUAUUGGGCGUAAAGGGCUCGUAGGUGGUUGAUCGCGUCGGAAGUGUAAUCUUGGGGCUUAACCCUGAGCGUGCUUUCGAUACGGGUUGACUUGAGGAAGGUAGGGGAGAAUGGAAUUCCUGGUGGAGCGGUGGAAUGCGCAGAUAUCAGGAGGAACACCAGUGGCGAAGGCGGUUCUCUGGGCCUUUCCUGACGCUGAGGAGCGAAAGCGUGGGGAGCGAACAGGCUUAGAUACCCUGGUAGUCCACGCUGUAAACGGUGGGUACUAGGUGUGGGGUCCAUUCCACGGGUUCCGUGCCGUAGCUAACGCUUUAAGUACCCCGCCUGGGGAGUACGGCCGCAAGGCUAAAACUCAAAGGAAUUGACGGGGCCCCGCACAAGCGGCGGAGCAUGCGGAUUAAUUCGAUGCAACGCGUAGAACCUUACCUGGGUUUGACAUGGAUCGGGAGCGCUCAGAGAUGGGUGUGCCUCUUUUGGGGUCGGUUCACAGGUGGUGCAUGGCUGUCGUCAGCUCGUGUCGUGAGAUGUUGGGUUAAGUCCCGCAACGAGCGCAACCCUUGUUCACUGUUGCCAGCACGUUAUGGUGGGGACUCAGUGGAGACCGCCGGGGUCAACUCGGAGGAAGGUGGGGAUGACGUCAAGUCAUCAUGCCCCUUAUGUCCAGGGCUUCACGCAUGCUACAAUGGCUGGUACAGAGAGUGGCGAGCCUGUGAGGGUGAGCGAAUCUCGGAAAGCCGGUCUCAGUUCGGAUUGGGGUCUGCAACUCGACCUCAUGAAGUCGGAGUCGCUAGUAAUCGCAGAUCAGCAACGCUGCGGUGAAUACGUUCCCGGGGCU
rnacentral:rRNA from 1 species